UGGUGAGAUCAAUUGCCAAGAGUAGGAACUUUAGUUGUGAUAAGUGUGAAGGUGUUAGGAGAGGGUUUAAUCUGGCUAGUGUAGCAGGUGAAAUGAGAGGGAACACUGUGAGGGAGGUCUACCUAACAAGGAGAAAAUUGAGAGAAAUUCAGCCAGAAUGUAGCCCUACUUUCUUCUAAAUGGAAAUACUCAUCACUGUGAGAAUAGAGACAAACAGAAUGUGAGAAAGAAAAAUAAAGUAACAGUAUUUAUCUAUUUAAGCAUUUUGCAUAUAUUAACUCAUAAAACGCUAUUAGAUAAAACACUGUUAGAUAAUACAGUAUUAUUCCUAUUUUACAGAAAGAAGCUCAAAGUUGUUAAAGCAAAAGAGAGGGACCUUACUAUUUUGCCCUUGUCUGCUUCCCCAGAAUUCUUUUGCCACUUACUACUUUGAACUUUCUGCAUGAACACCAUCAAAUGGUUUUCAGUUUCAUGCCAUGAUGAGCUAUUUCUUGCCUCUGUACCUUUGGUCAUGCCAAGAUUCUCAGUCCAUGACCCCUUUUCUUGACUCCCAUCCAUUCUUUAACCCUCAGAUUCUGUUACUUUCUCACAAUUUGUGGACAUUUCUCUCACGGUGUUAAAAUAUUCUGUUUCCUUACCUUCACCUGGACUGGACUGUGGGCAGGACAUAGAUUUCGUGUCUGUGGCAUAGGGCCUGGCCAAUACUAUAUAUAUUUUUCAACUCAACCACAAAUGAGUAAAUAUCUGCGAUAACUAGGUGAACAGAAAAUUCUCAGGGAUGAGGUUUAAAAUAGGGAAAGAGGAAAGAAGUAAAAACUCGUGGCAAAAUAGAACUUGCACACUCUUUGCUUUCAAUUUAGGCUAGGGGUCAAACCAGAACUAUAGCUGCUGGCCUAUACCGCAGCCACAGCAAUGCGGGAUCUGAACUGCGCCUGCAACCUACACCACAGCUUUCAGCAACGCCGGAUCCCCAGUCCUCUGAGAGAGGCCAGGGAUUGAACCCGCAUCUUUAUGGAUACCAGUCAGAUUCAUUUCCGCUGCACCACAGUGGGAACUCCAAGGAAAAAAACAGCAUUUAAUAUGAGUUUGUAUACUACAGUCUAAGGAGAUUUUGUAUGAGUUCUGAGCGAUAUAGGUACUCAUAGGAAUGUAUCUCUAAUUUUUCCCCAUCUUAGUUAAUGGUGUUAACUUUUAAUGAUAACCUCUGCCCUUGGGUCUGCAGAAAUUCAAAACGGUUUGGGUAUUUUGAUGUGCAGGGAAAAAAAAUGGACACUUCCAAAAAAAUUUUUUUGACCACACCCAUGGCAUGUGGAAGUUCCUGGGUCGGGGAUUAAACCUGAGCCACAACAGUGACCAGAGGUGAUGCAUGGACAACACCGGAUCCUUAACGUGCUGUGCCAGAAGAGCACGCCUGUACACAUUAAAAAAAACCCAAAUCCUUAAGCUUUCUCUGCUUAUCUUUAGCACUUAUCUGUGGCUUUUGCAAUGCUAGCAUUACCAUAGUGAUAAAUAGGGGGUGAUGCUAUCCAUAAAGUUUCCUGCAUAGUUCAAUAAAAAUACCAGUAAUGACUAUUUUUUAUUGGUUAUGCCUGGCACCAUGCUAAGCAUUUCACAUACAUUAUUCCAAUUAAUUACAGUACCUCUAUGUUACAAAUCAGAAAUGUGAGGCCCAAGGCCACCCACUGACAGAGCCAGGAUUCUGACACCAGUAACUAUGCUCACCACACUACACAUUUGCUCUAAUUUAUUAAUUCCUUUAGGUCUUUCUCUUUCAAGUGGCUUUAGUCAAUACAGCCACUGUGGGUUCUGCGCAUAUGCUGGAAAUAGCAUGGUCUGUUAAUUCUAACCCUCCACUGACUGUAUCAGGCAGUUCCUAGUUUUGAGCUCGGGCUCAAAGUGUAGACUCUUUUAUGAGAUUUCUGGCAGAAGCAGGUGAAAGGAAGAAUUCAAAACCAUUUCCUUUGUUGGGAGAGACACAUCAAGUAGUUGGGAGGGAGUGGGGCUGUUCCAUUCAGCCCUCAGUCUAGUCUCUUGGAGAGCAGCACUGAAGUCUCUCCCAUAAUUGCCUGCCUGGAAGGUGGAAAAUGGGAUAAGUGAUGUCACCGCAAAUGCAGACAUGCUGAACCCAAUAUUGCACAUCAGUGAAAUGGCUCAGGGAUUAGCUAGGCAUCCUCAACCCAUUUUCACAUUUAGUUUUCCUUCAAAGGAGAACUAUAUAAAAUAUACAACAAUAACCCAUGGCUUAUUUUAAAGUGCUUUCUUCUGACAGUCCUUAGUAGCACAUGAUUAGAGUUAAAAACCAAGAAACUAAUCCUUCUUCAGCUGCUGACCUGCAGUGUGAAAUGCAGUCAGGUAACCUACUCCAGGGCUGACCAAGGCACAGGUAUUUAUUAAGUAUCUAUUAACAGUCCAGCAUGAAUUUUUAUGCUUUGGGUAUCAAAAGAGUAUUGAAAGCUAGGUUUCAGCUUACCCUGAGCACCACACAAGUCAAAAUAAUGAAUUUCAGUGGUUAAAUGACUGGUAUAAACUACGGCAGUUGGGAUGACAAAUAAAUGAAUGACAGCUGGACUGGUCAAGCAUAGUGAGCAAUUGCUCUGACUGCCCACAAUCUACUUGUUUUUCCUCUAAUAACAUAAUACAUAUUUUGCUCUGAGAAGUCGUGCAUCCCUACUCUAAGUCCGCUUAGUUUGGGUGAUGACUAAGACAGGAAUGGGAGCAUGACUGACUAUAGCCAGUGAGAUUUUAAAAAUAUUCCUGUAUUGCCUAUGGCUGAAAGGAGACUUACACAUGGACUUUUCAGUUAGCUGAAACAAGAAAUUUCUUUUUUCUUAAGCCAGUUUGCUUUGGCUUGUUUGCUACUUGCAACCAAAAUAUUGCUAACGGGUUUUCUGCUUCUAGAUAGGGUAGACUUCUGCUUCUCAGAAGGAUACAGUAGAAGCUGACAGGGUAAUGUUCCCACUGCAACAACUUGAAACCAACAGAUAAAUUGCAAACUUCAUAUUUCUGAAUGCAUGGGGGAAAUGUAGAAGUAACAGAGAUGAGAUAAACCCUAAAUCUUGAGAGGUGAGAAGCUGACUACUCUAGUCAUUUUUCAACCUGAGUCAUCUGCCAAUUUUGAGCAUGACCUGAGGAGCAGGCUCGCUGAUGAAGCAGAACUCUGCUGGGAGUAAGAGUGACCACCUGAGCUUUUAGCAGUUACAGGGGGCUGAUAUGGCAGUUUGGAAGCUUGAAGAGACUCAAAUACUUAUUGUUUCCAGAUAGGUUCUAGAGCUGCAGGGGAACUAAGCUAAAAGCUUCUAAAAUGCAGAGUAAAUUAUCUAGAGUUUCUUGGUGCUUAGGAACUAAGAUCUGCCAGUGAGAGAGCUUGCAUCAAGAAAAUUUACUUAGGGUCUAGAGAUUGACUGAAACUUACAGAGAGCAGAGACGGAAACCAGUACUGUUCUGGGGCUCAGGAAAUAUUUCUGACAGGGAUAUACAUGUCCCUGACAGAAUAUAUAAAUAUAUAUAUUUGUCUCUUUUUAGGGCUGCACCCAUGGUAUAUGGAGGUUCCCAGGCUAGCCACAACCACAGCAACACAGCUAUACCACAGCUUACAGCAACACCGGAUCCUUAACCCACUGAACGGGGCCAAGGAUAGAACCUGUGCCCUCAUGGAUGCUAGUCAGAUUCAUUUCUGCUGAGCCAUGAUGGGAAUUCCUGUCAGGGUUAUAUUAAAAAAUCUAGGAGAUUUAGGCUCUUGCACCAGUGAAAAUCAGGAAUGGACUUAAUAUUAUAAAUAUUGCAAUCUAGUUUUGUUCCUAAUGAAUUUCUAAAUGGGUUAAGAUGAUUGUAUUUUGCUAUAUUUGCAUAAUUAUGAAGAAAACACUAUGGUGAAAGAUAAAAUAAUCUGGACUCUCUUUUUUUUUUAAAUUGAAGUAUAGUUGAUUCACAAUAUUGUGUUAGUUUCAGGUUAUAGCAAGGUGAUUCAGUUAUAUAUUUCUUUAGAUUAUUUUCCAUUAUAGGUUAUUAUAAGAUAUUGAAUAUAGUUCCCUGUGUUAUACAGUAAACUCUUGUUGCUUAUCUAUUUUAUGUACAGCAGUUUUUAUCUUUCAGUCCCUUAAUCCAAUUUAUCCCCCCCAUUUCCCUUAGGUAACCAUAAGUUUGUUUUCUAUAUUUGUAAAACUGUUUUUUAUUUUGUAUAUAGACUCAUUUGUAUUAUAUUCAGAUUCUAAAAAUAAGUGAUAUCAUAUAAUAUUUGUUUUUCUCUGAUUUUCUUCACUUAUAAUCUCUGGGUCUAUUUAUGUUGCUGCAAAUGGCAAUGUUUCAUUUUUUAUUGGUUAGUAAUAUUCCAUUGUAUAUAUGUAUGUAAAUAUACAUACAUGCAUACACAUACACAAGAUUGCUUUGGCAAUUCUGGGUCUUUGUGGUUCCAUAUAAAUUUUAGUAUUAUUUAUUCUAGUUCUGUGGAAAUACAUUAUGCGUUUUUUUGAUAGGGAUCACAUUAAAUGUGUGGUUGCUCUGGAGGUAGUAUGACCAUUUUAAGAAUAAUUCUUCCGGAGAUCCCGUCGUGGCGCAGUGGUUAACGAAUCCGAACCAUGAGGUUGUGGGUUCGGUCUCUGGCCUUGCUCAGUGGGUUAAUGAUCCUGCGUUGCCGUGAACUGUGGUGUAGCUUGUAGACGCGGCUCGGAUCCCGCGUUGCUGUGGCCCUGGCGUAGGCCCGUGGCUACAGCUCCAAUUCGACCCCUAGCCUGAGAACCUCCAUAUGCCGCGGGAGCGGCCCAAGAAAUAGCAAAAAGACAAAAAAAAAAAAAAAA
rnacentral:lncRNA from 1 species